CAGCCGCCGCGGUAAAACGGAGGGUGCAAGCGUUAAUCGGAGUUACUGGGCGUAAAGCGUGCGUAGGCGGUUCGUUAAGUCUGUUGUGAAAGCCCCGGGCUCAACCUGGGAAUGGCAAUGGAUACUGGCGAGCUAGAGUGUGUCAGAGGAUGGUGGAAUUCCCGGUGUAGCGGUGAAAUGCGUAGAGAUCGGGAGGAACAUCAGUGGCGAAGGCGGCCAUCUGGGACAACACUGACGCUGAGGCACGAAAGCGUGGGGAGCAAACAGGAUUAGAUACCCCCGUAGUCCCUGUCUCUUAUAC
rnacentral:rRNA from 1 species